CAUGCUGCUGAGAGGAAGGAAGACCGCUCUUGUGUGGACUCAGAAGACGCAACUGGAAAGAAGAAAUCCUUGUCAAUGUGAUGACACAUGAGCCCCAAAUGAUGACAUCACAACUACAUGGACACAAAGAUCAACAUCAACAUGAUUCACUGGCAAAAUAUUGUUGAAAGAUGCAGAUUGAAGGUGUUUUCUCAGCCUUAAACAGCCAAAGAAGACAUCAUGUAAAUUGUGCAGAUGUGAAAGAAAAGUCCAAGUGUGAUGAGGUCCCUCAGCGAUGGAGACAUCUCUCUGUGUUCCAGUGCACAAAGCAUCCUGGAACAGCCAGGUGGCUUAACCAUGAGAUGUUCCAAAACAAAAUAAUAAAAUAAGUUUUAAUUUU